AGCGUAUUUGUCACUUUCUAUUCCCUCUAACCAAUUUUUUUCCCGAGAAAGUUUUUCUAUAACGCUUUCUCUUCUUCAAUUUGUGAAUAAACAAAUUAGAACUUUUCGAUUCGUUUUUUGUUCUGUUCUUUCGCUGACCGACAAGAUAUCAGCCGGGACGUGGAGACCGCCGAAUCCUGAUUAUCAGUCGUACCAGCAGAAUCAUCAGCAGCAACAACGGCAACAGUGGUCACGUCGCGCUGGAAACAAUAAUGAGUCAAGAAGACGACGUCGACGUCACUCCUUUAAGUCACAAUCCUUUCUCUUAUCCUCAAGGGGAAAUGGCGACGACACAACUUUCAGUAUCACCAGUUACCGUGUCAGUCAAGAGCUUAGCCUCGCUCAGAGUUUCGAGUGCCUAGUUUGGAACUUUGAAACCAGGCACCCUUAAGCAGAGCCAGUUCCGUUCUUUGGUUGUCAAAGCUGCUUCUGUCGGUGCUCCUAAGUACUCUUCAAUUAAGCCAAUGGGAGAUAGAUUUUUGGUGAAGAUCAAGGGGGCAGAGGAGAAGACAAUGAGAGGUAUCUUACUUCCAUCUACAGGGUCAAAGAUCAAGGAGGCAGAGGAGAAGACAAUGGGAGGUAUCUUACUUCCAUCUACAGGUCAAUCGAAACCUCAAGGAGGUGAAGUCGUUGCUGUGGGUGAAAGGGGAAUUAUUGGGAAAAACAAAGUUGAUAUCACUGUCCCUACUGGAGCACAAAUCAUUUACUCCACAAGUACGCUGGAACUGAGGUGGAGUUCAACGAUGUGAAGCAUCUCAUUCUCAAGGAAGAUGAUAUUGGCCUUUCUUAGUUGUUUAUCUUUUAUUUAUGUAUUUAGGAUGUUAUUUAAAUAUUUUGGAUGUUUCAAAUUUGGUAGGAUAAUGCUUUUAAAUGUUUAAAACUUGGUGUGUUGCAUGGA